CACGCUGGUCUUGAACUCCAGACCUCAGAAGGUCAGUUCCUCUUACAAUCCUCCAGAGUGUCCACUUUCCACUAUCAAAAUGUCCUUGCGAGAAGUCUGUGACUCAUGGAAAUUGAUGGCCUACCUCCUGCUAAGGUGGUGACUAUAGUAUACCCUGUUUGCUUCCUGUUCUCAAGGACAAUCUGUGGCUCUUCUGAAAUGCUCAUGACUGUAAGACAGGGGAAUGAGCCUGGGGGAAGACAUCACCGUCAGACUCCCUUGGCCCUCCUGAGGACUGUUGCUUAAAAACCUGUGGGAAUCCAAAAGAGCCCAGCUUAGUCACUGCCAUUUUCCGAGAAGCUAGGAAUCAGAAAGCAACAACAAUGAACUCAUGUUUAUUGAACACCUUCUGAAAGUCAGGAACUGUGCACAAGACAUACCUUCUCAUUUCAUCCACUCUACAGCCCAGUAAGGUAGGCAUUAUCUCAUUUUAUAGAUGAGAAAACUGAGGCUUGGAGAGAGCAAAUUGGGAGUGAAUCUUAGCGUGUUCCUGUCGUAACCCAGUAACAUAUAUGGGUGAGAGAACCAGAGAAACCGAGAGAGGGGCUGGGAAAGAAUACCCUCACAGGCAAAUAAUAGUCCUUCACAUUUUGUGGUGUGUCCGGAGAGCAUUUUGUGAAGACUGUGGGUUCUCAAAGUAUGGUCCCUGGACCUCAUGAACCAGGACAGACACUUAACGACUGUAAGUGACAGACACUUACGACUGCUGUUUGUAGGCUGGCCUAGUUCUCAGACAGGUGACCACUCUAUUUCCUUCCAACUCAUACUUCAUGCUUUUCAGCUGCUCUGGAAACAUGACAGUUAAAUUUAUAGUCUGGCCAGCAGAGGGCAACGGAGGCCAACCUUUCCUGCCAGAUGUAGAAGAACUUCAUCCGUUUAGAGAAAUGGUGGGAAGUUGUUAAAAAUGCAAAUUAUUGGGCCCCACCCCAGACCUACUCAAUUGGAAAUUCUGAGAUUAAGGCCCAUCAAUGAAUAAUUGUUGUUGCUGCCCAUCAAUCUGAGAUUAAGGCCCAUCAAUCUGAGAUUAAGGCCCAUCAAUGAGUU